UACGGAGGGUGCAAGCGUUGUUCGGAAUUAUUGGGCGUAAAGCGCGUGUAGGCGGUUUUCUAAGUCUGAUGUGAAAUCCCAGGGCUUAACCCUGGAACUGCAUUGGAUACUGGAUAACUAGAGGGCGAGAGAGGAUGGUGGAAUUCCUGGUGUAGGGGUGAAAUCCGUAGAUAUCAGGAGGAACAUCAGUGGCGAAGGCGGCCAUCUGGCUCGCACCUGACGCUGAGACGCGAAAGCGUGGGGAGCAAACAGG
rnacentral:rRNA from 1 species